rnacentral:rRNA from 1 species
AUUGAACGCUGGCGGAAUGCUUUACACAUGCAAGUCGAACGGCAGCACGGACUUCGGUCUGGUGGCGAGUGGCGAACGGGUGAGUAAUGUAUCGGAACGUGCCCAGUCGUGGGGGAUAACGUAGUGAAAAUUACGCUAAUACCGCAUACGAUCUAUGGAUGAAAGCGGGGGAUCGCAAGACCCCGCGCGAUUGGAGCGGCCGAUAUCAGAUUAGGUAGUUGGUGGGGUAAAGGCCCACCAAGCCAACGAUCUGUAGCUGGUCUGAGAGGACGACCAGCCACACUGGAACUGAGACACGGUCCAGACUCCUACGGGAGGCAGCAGUGGGGAAUUUUGGACAAUGGGCGGAAGCCUGAUCCAGCCAUGCCGCGUGCAGGAUGAAGGCCCUCGGGUUGUAAACUGCUUUUGUACAGAACGAAAAGGUUUCUACUAAUACUAGGAGCUCAUGACGGUACUGUAAGAAUAAGCACCGGCUAACUACGUGCCAGCCGCCGCGGUAA